UUGUGUCCUCAGUUUCUGUCAACUCCAUCAGAUUAUUCUAUAAACCUCAUUAAAUCAUGCAAUAUCAUGGUCAGCUAUAUCCCUGGGGACCCCUUUUCAUUUCCUGCUUCUGGUGAAUGCAACACCACCACACAUGGUCUGGUAGGUUUUACAGUUUUUGAUAUUUUAGAGAAACAAUGUCAAUAUUUUUAUGGUCACAGCUGGACCAUGUCAACACCGUCUCUCCAUUAUUAUACUUUUUUUUAAACCAUAGUGAGUUCAAUUAAAGUAUUUUAGUGAGAUUAUCAGGACAGCUAGCAACUGCCAAAAAAGUAGCUAGCUGCACUGUACAAUAAAUGUUUUGGAGGGAAAAUACACGCCCUUACGUCAACUCCGUCAGGCGUCAACUCCGUCAGAUUUUGUGUCUGACGAAGUUGACAUGUAAGCUGAUGGAGUUGACAAAUCCAGCUAUAACCUCUUAAUGUGCUGACAUUAUGCUAUUUUUGAACAUGGUUAAGGAUAACAAUGUUAUUCCAGGGUCUUAUCUGCACAUAAAAGUACAUUUAUAGCAUAUAUUACGUUAUUUUACCAUAUACUUCUGUUUUGUAGAGUAGACCAUGGGCAGGCUGUCUGCUUAAUUAUAACUGUCAAACUUUCCCAACACACACACACACACACACACACACACACACACACACACACACACACACACACACACCCUAAUCUCAUUGAUUGAUUGAUUAAUGUCAAAUCCUAAAGGUGCAGUAUGUAAUUUUCACUACCUAAAAUCUACACACUGGCUUCUUAUAGAGUGCGCAAGAAGUUCUAUGUUGCUCUUUUAAACCCCAGUGUAGGUGGGAUACCAGAUAGAAGAAAAAGGUUAUUAUUUUUACAUUGUUAACUUGGACCCUCAGACCUUGGGCUCUAUUUUUGUGUCCACCGGCGACAUGGCGGAGGGUGGUGAACCCCGCGCAGUGGCAUUUUCGUCUGGCGGAGCUCAGCGUACAGCCAGUUUGGUAUUUUCGUGGACUAAGGUGCACCGAGGUCCGCCAGGCUGGGCGUGGAUGUGUGGCAGGGUGAGGUGUCCACAGAAUCAGCUGGUGCAGCGACAUUUUCGUACUUGUUGCCGGCGUGUAAAGUGCGCUGAAAGCUUGCAGAUUCAAACCUGGUCAGCUUUCAGCACAGGUGGAUCCGGAUGGGCUAGUGGUAUUUUGGGAGACCGGCGGCAUAUCGGCCUCACCAGCAGGUUUCCACAGUGUCAGGAACAUUUCCGUGCAAUAAAUAAUCAAUAACAACUAAUAAUCUGUGUCAGCACAUACAUUUAGAUCUAUAUCGAUGUAUUCUGAUCUAUAUCUGAUCUGAUGAGUGCAUUUGGCACGCGUUUGGACACUCAACCUGACCAAAUUAACACAGCUGCUGAAUCCGCAUGAAAUUGAAUCAAAUAUCUAGUAAAUAAACACGCAUUAUGAAGUUAACAAGAUAUUUAAUUUGUCUGCCCCCAUUUCUAGCUUCCUCUUCCUCUUAUUUCUCGCGCAGCUCAACCUGGACAUGUCUCCGUGUCCUCUACCCGUCCUGCUGCAGCUGCUGCUGCGGCAGCUGAACAGAUGAUUUGUUCCAGUGAUCGGAUGAGUUUUUUACUUUAAGCCUACAUACAAA